rnacentral:rRNA from 1 species
UACGGGGGGGGCAAGCGUUGUUCGGAAUUACUGGGCGUAAAGGGUUCGUAGGUGGCUCGCUAAGUCACACGUGAAAUCCCUCAGCUUAACUGGGGAACUGCGUGUGAGACUGGCAAGCUCGAGUGCAGGAGAGGAAUGCGGAAUUCCAGGUGUAGCGGUGAAAUGCGUAGAUAUCUGGAGGAACACCGGUGGCGAAGGCGGCAUUCUGGACUGCAACUGACACUGAGGAACGAAAGCCAGGGGGGCAAACGGG